UACGUAGGGGGCAAGCGUUGUCCGGAAUCAUUGGGCGUAAAGCGCGUGUAGGCGGCUCGGUAAGUCCGCUCUGAAAGCCCGGGGGCUCAACCCCGGGAGGCGGGUGGGAUACUGCUGAGCUCGAGUCCGGAAGAGGAGUGUGGAAUUCCUGGUGGUAGCGGUGAAAUGCGCAGAUAUCGAGGAGGAACACCAAGUGGCGAAAGGCAGCACUCGUGGGACGGUAC
rnacentral:rRNA from 1 species